UCAUUUUCUAAGCUGCCUAAUCUUAAUUUCCUUCAUUGGAGAAAUGAAAGAAUAUUGGGAACCUAAUGGUGCUGGCAAGGAUAAAAUACCAUAAAGUGUAUAAAACACUUAGCCCAGCAGCACAGUGAGCAUUUAACAGAUGGUAACUCUUUAUGUCAAUUGAGUUAUAUUGGUUCAGUUGUAAUCAUUACAUUUUUUUUCUUUUUUAGAUUUGUUUAUAAAACUAGCCCCAUGCAGUAAGAACUUUAGCAAUGAAUGUAGAAUAGGAAAUUGACUCUCUAAAAUGACAAAUCCAAAGAAUAGAAUAUUUUAAGAGCUCUAUUAGGAAAUGUGAAAGGCCGAACUAAGAAAAGCAGAAUCUAGAAUCAAAUCCAAAGGGUGAAAUGCAAACCCAAAGGAGACACAAUGUCUGAUGUGAGUUAGCAAUGGCCUACCAGGCAUAUGGCAAUGAGCAAAGGUGGUCUGAAUCUAGCAAAUUCAGUCUAGCAGGUUCAUUUGCUACAAGUAGACCGGAAGGCAUUUGCUUUUUUCUCUUUUUUUAAAAUAAAAAUGUUCAUUGGACAUUAACUGCAUGGUAUAUGGGUAUAGUGGUCUGUUUUAAAAGUAGACACUAAAGAAUUUAAGUUUUAUUCUGUCACAGUUGAAAUGCACACAAAAGUAAAUCUUGAGCAAGAGAACUUGAGAUCAGAACUUUAGAAACAUUCAUCUGGCAAUAAGGUAUAAGCUCAAUGUAAGGCCAUGCUUCAUUAGUUAGAAGCAAUAAUUCAAGACAGAAGCUGUGAAAGCCUGACUUGGGGUAGUAAAUAUGGACAUGAAAAAGAAGAGAAAAUAAGGAAAUUCAUCUUAAAAGCAGAACUGGAAUAGAUUGGCAGCUGGUUGGAUAUUGUUUUUAUAAUCCUUAAGGAUACAAUCAAUAACUGUGGAACACUUUGCCUUUUGCAUGCUUUGCCUAACUGCUCUCCUCCUUGGUUGGAGUUCAAAACCCAAGAUCCUGCAGUGUUACACUAUGACCAGGGAAGUCCUCCAGCAAAGGGAUGAAGCCAAAGAUCAGAGCCAGCUGCCUGCAGUUGCCCAGCCACUUCCCAGAUGGUCGUGUUGCCUGGAGAUGGUGCCUUGAUAAAUGCAUGUUUAUUGUAGUAGUAUAAAUGUGGGCCCUGAACCACAGGCAAGUUUUGAUUUCCCUCAUUUCCAAAGUGACAAGAAAAUGUUUUCUGUGUCUCAAAUGAUGCUGCUGGUCCCCUGAGACUAGUUAGAGAGUGCAACUCUGGCUACUUAAAAUUUUCAUUUUUUGAAGUGUAACUGGAGGGUUCAGAAGAGACCACUUUAUAUAUUUAUUUAUUCAUACCUUCUGUCAUUUGUGAAAGCCAUCACCCAGUUCUGCCUAUUUUUAUUAGCUUAUGUGAACUGUGAAAUAGUUCAUGUUUCCUGGCUGAAUGGAAAAAUGAGAAUUUAAAUAAGCAAAUAAAUAAAGACUUUAUUUGUAUUGAAUUGAACUGUGAUUUAUCUUGGCCAUGAGCGAAAGACAAUUAUAUUCUAAAUCCUGGUUUUUAGUCACUUGUCUCAAACAAGUGACACCAAAUUCUACUCUAGCAGAAAGCCUCAACAGGCAAGUUAUAGCUUUAAAAACAAAGUCUGCUUAAAACCUAGAUAAUGCGUUGAUGGGUGCAGGAAACCACCAUGGCACAUGUACACCCAUGCAACAAACCUGCAUGUUCUUCACAUGUAUCCCAGAACCCAAAGUAAAACUUAAAAAUAAAUAAAUAAAAAUGCAACAACCAAACAUAUGGAUUCUUAUUUGAAAACACAGCUAUAUAAAGUCAUUUUGUGGAAAAUUAGGGAAAUGUGAAUAUUUGCUGGGUAUUAGCAGACAGUUGGUCAUGACUUGAUUUUCUUUUUCUUUUUCUUUUUUUUUAAUUAGCCAGGCAUGGUGGCAGCCACCAGUAAUCCCAGCCACUCGGGAGGCAGAGGCAGGUUUUAAGCAUCUCAUGCAUUAGAUAUUUGUCCUAAUGCUCUCCUUCCCCUUGCCCCCUCAUCCCCCUAUAGACCCUGGUGUGUGAUGAUCCCCUCCCUGUUUUCAUAGGUUCUCAUUGUUCGGCUCCCACUUAUGGGUGAGAGCAUGCGGUGUCUGGUUUUUGGUUCCUGUGUUAGUUUCCUGGGGAUGAUGGUUUCUGGCUUCAUCCAUGUCCCUGCAAAGGAUGUGAACUAAUUCUUUUCUAUGGCUGCAUGGUAUUCCAUGGUGUAUGUGUGGAAUAUUUUCUUUAUUCAGAUUGUCCUCUUUUUAACAACUUUCUUUUUUUGUGCUUAUUAUUGUUUUUAAUUUAAUUUUUUAUGCAUUAUGUUUAUACUCAUAUGCAGAUAAAAAUUUCCUGAAGGUAGGGAUAUAUUAUAUGCAUAUGUUUUGUUGAAAGACUUUUAAGGGUUUUUUUGCAGGAAACUUUCUUUCCCAAACAAAUCAAAUCCAAAUAUUUAAUAAUUGACUAAAAUUAGAAAACAACUUUCUUUAUAUACAUACAAUACAUCCAACUAUAGUACAUGAUUGCUGGUUUUCAUGAUCGUCACAGAGUCCUGCUCUUUUCACCUUAAACAGUCACACAUAAAAAAAAUUAUAUUGACAUUUUUCAAAGACCAGGCUGGUUGUCUUAUAGCCUGUCUACUUUUGGUAUUUGUCUGAUUAUUUCAUUCUGUGCUGUGGUUGAAAUUACAUUGGUUGAUUCUAUAUCAAUCAAUAAAAUGGAAGUUUGGUCCAAGGUUCGAUUGUUUAUAAUUAGGUUGAGUAGUUUGCUAAGGCUUCACAGGUAAUGAUCUGUGAUUCCCACUGUUGAGGCAGGAAAAUAAGGUCUGGAGGCAGAGAACAUAAGGCUGAUUUACCCACGUCAACUAUGAUGGGAAAUAUCCCCUCCAUAGGGCGUACACCAAGUACAUAGCUCUGUAACUUGACUUCAUCCUCUUCAUUUACAUAGGGUGUACACCAGCUAACCAAUGGAAAACUCUGGAGGGUAUUU
rnacentral:lncRNA from 1 species